rnacentral:rRNA from 1 species
GAUGAACGCUGGCGGCGUGCCUAACACAUGCAAGUCGAACGGCAGCACGGGAGCAAUCCUGGUGGCGAGUGGCGAACGGGUGAGUAAUAUAUCGGAACGUGCCCAGUCGUGGGGGAUAACGCAGCGAAAGCUGUGCUAAUACCGCAUACGAUCUAUGGAUGAAAGCGGGGGAUCGCAAGACCUCGCGCGAUUGGAGCGGCCGAUAUCAGAUUAGCUAGUUGGUGAGGUAAAGGCUCACCAAGGCGACGAUCUGUAGCUGGUCUGAGAGGACGACCAGCCACACUGGAAGUGAGACACGGUCCAGACUCCUACGGGAGGCAGCAGUGGGGAAUUUUGGACAAUGGGCGAAAGCCUGAUCCAGCAAUGCCGCGUGCAGGAUGAAGGCCUUCGGGUUGUAAACUGCUUUUGUACGGAACGAAACGGUGAGCUCUAAUACAGUUUGCUAAUGACGGUACCGUAAGAAUAAGCACCGGCUAACUACGUGCCAGCCGCCGCCGUAA